UACACAUAGUUGCCUGCCACCAGCUACCCUUUAAGGACAAGGCAGGUACAACAUUAUAAGUAAAAGGCUGUACAAAAUUACCUGUAGCACAUUGAAUGGAAAAGAGUUACCAUACGUGAUUGUCCACUGGCUUUCAAUUUUAUCUUUGUAAAUUUUCUACUGUGAUGUUAAAUUCUAUUUUAGUUUUAUGAAUAGUUUCUAAUUCUCCAGCUAAACAAUGAAAAGUACUCAGACCAUAGAGUAGCAUUCUGGAUUAAGUCUAAAGGAUGAACUUUGAAUCUGAUGGGUGUGUCAGUGUUUGCUUUUCAUCCUGUAGUAUUGACUCCUCAGCUGACAGUAAUGACUGUUGCUCGGGCACAUAGUUCUAUGGGGUUUGGCAGUGCUCCAAUACCUCACCCAUGUAGCCAUUCCUCAUAAGGAGCUUAAGUAAUUGAUCCAAAAGUUCAAAGGAAUGCUGGCUCACAUAAUGACAUCAAUAAGGAAAACCAGUAAUGAUUUGUGGCUUCGAAGUGAGGAAGGGUCUCGACCCGAAACGUCACCUAUUCCUUCGCUGCUCACCCACUGAGUUUCUCCAGCAUUUUUGUCUACCUUCGGUUUUUCCAGCAUCUGCAGUUCUUUCUUAAACAGUGUGUCCUCAAAGUAAA